AGUCUGGUGUCAGCCGCCGCGGUAAUACCAGCUCCCCGAGUGGUUGGGACGAUUAUUGGGCCUAAAGCAUCCGUAGCCUGUUUUGUAGGUCUCAUGUUAAAUCCAUUCGCUCAACGAAUGGUCUGCAUGGGAUACCGCAUUACUAGGAGGCGGGAGACGUGAACGGUACUCCAUGGGUAGGGGUAAAAUCCUUUGAACCAUGGAAGACCACCAGUGGCGAAGGCGGUUCACGAGAACGCGCUCGACGGUGAGGGAUGAAAGCUGGGGUAGCGAACCGGAUUAGAUACCCGGGUAGUCCCAGCUGUAAACGAUNCAAGCUAGGUGAUGGAUUAGCCAUGUGCUAAUCCAGUGCCGCAGGGAAGCCGUUAAGCUUGCCGCCUGGGGAGUACGGUCGCAAGGCUGAAACUUAAAGGAAUUGGCGGGGGAGCACCGCAA
rnacentral:rRNA from 1 species